UCCACGAUCACUGACAGCUGCCGCUGGUGGAUGAUAACAAGACUGAUGGCCGUAUGCAGACACUGACAAAAUCCCUGGGAUUCAGGAGCAGAUCUGAAUCCCUGCAAGCUUUAACCAGGAGAUUGGGUGUAUCUGGAAAGAUACGUGAGAGUCACUUGAGCCCAGAUUUGAUGCUCCGUAUCAAGUGUUGCUGACCACGCCCACUUCUGUGAAAAUUAAAGAGAGAGAGACUUGGGUCCCACUGCAAACUUGCCCAAGUUAAGUUUGAACAAUGAAAUACACAAACAUGCAGAGGCUAAUUGGGCCUAAACUAGACAGGCCACUAUGGGUCAUUAUAUUGGGUACUUCAGUACUCAUUGUAGUCAUAGUAUACUCUAUAUCCCUCAUAGGAGAGAGCAGGGACUGGCAUGUCUGCCAAUCCAAAGCUACAUACCGAAAACUGGUAUGUAGAAGUGUGGUAUCCGAGCCACUAAAUCUUGCGUCCAUUCAAUGAAAGUAAAGAUCAUGAAAUUUCCAGGGUUUCAAAGAUACCAGUUAGUUAAGAGAUGCUGGGCUCACAUGAGCCCACAUCUGUCCCCCUUACAUAUGAGCGUAUGGGGGUUUCUAGAUUUCUUUGGAGCAAAUACAUACUAUAAAAUAGAGUAUGACACUUUUUUUAGAUAUGUAUGAAGAGAACUCCAAGAAUGUGUUCUACAUCUAUUACUAAUGAAACAGAUAACGCGCAAGAAGUGGUACAGAGAUAUGUCCAAGAAAUAGAAAAUGAAAAAUAAGCAUAAGCCAACAAACCUAAUACCCGUGACACUCUAGAGCAGGGGUAGCCAACCCUGGUCCUCGAGAGCUACCAACAGUUAACGUUUUCCAGGUCUCUUCACAGAAUCACAAGUUAAGUAAUUUGCUCCACCUGUAGAUCUUUUAAAUGUCAGUGAGUAGUGACUGCACCAGUGCACGAAGGUGAGCUGGAAAAUGUGAACUGUUGGUAGCUCUCGAGGACCAGGGUUGGCUACCACUGGUUUAGAGGGUGACUGGGGAUGGUUAUCAUGGCUAAAUCCUACUAAAUUGUUUAGUGAAAUCAAAGGAUGGAUUGUUGGAAAUUUUGAUGUUUUUAUUACAAAUUGUUGGCUUAGCAAUUUGCAUAUAUCUGUGUUUUAAGAUACUAUUUUGUUUCCUUUCAGCUUGCAAAAAGUCUAUAAACUCAAGAUUUGAAACCUCCAAGUUUAAGAAGUUACAGAAGAGCUUGGAAAGAAAGAGCCGUGAGCAGUCUACCUUAAUGGAUUUGAGUGAAUGGCCAUCAACCCUCCAUUGGAUAAAGUGAAAAGCACCAUCUCUCGGGGAUAUAGCCAUUAGCACCAUCAUAGCUAGACUGUUUGCCCAGACUCGUUAGGUAGAGAUUUUGUAAUGCCUCAUAGCUCAAGUGUAAUAUGAGAUUAUUAUAAAAAGGAGGGAAUGAAAGAGACGGCAUCAUGCUAAAGUAGUUUUCAGCCAUCUUGUAUCACAGUAGCCAUUUUUGUCUGAAUAUAAAGAAACGCUUUUGCUUUAAAGUUAUAAGUAAUGCUGACAUUUUAUUAGUUAGAGAGAAGUUCCUCUGAGAAUCAAGGUUAAGCAAUUUGCUUAUCUCCUGGAACAUGUUUUGAGAACAGUGGUGUUUUGAGAAUGGUAUCUACAGACUGACUUUCAAGGAUUGUAAUGUCUCAUAAUUUCUAUGUGUGAGAAAUGACACCUAUGCUUGUGUUUUGUGACGUGUAACAAAUUCCUGUAUACUGUAUGUCUAUAAGAACCCCUAGACAAUAAACUGCUGUGGGCUCAUUCUUAUGAAAAUAA